rnacentral:lncRNA from 1 species
CGUUUCUUCUGCGGAGGCAAGAAUUGAGUUUGCUUCAGACCUGGACAGAACCACUGCCGCUAACAUAUUUCGGUGCCCUGUGACUCGGAAAUGUUCCACCGGCUGCAGUUUAGGCUAACCCUGCUUAUUCCUGUAAACCAACAAGGGACCUCUGCAGUUCAGAAGAAACAAGAGGGAUCGGCCAUCAAGCUCCAGAUGAUCCUCAGUGAGGGAUACUGUCCUCUCAAUAUUCAAGAGUCACCCUUCUACAGAAGAUCCCUAGACUUCCCAUCAGUGGGACAUGACAGAGGUGAGAAACCUGAGAUUCGUGGAAGUUAAAAGACUUGUGCAGCAUCCACAGCUA